UAUUUGUUCUCUGUCCUAGGGAAAACAUGGUUGUUUGGUUUUGUUCGUUGCCAAAGAAGCCUGAUGUUAACAUAAAAGCCGUAAUAAAUAGUGCAAUGAAGACAAUAAGUAGUUCUUUGGAAGGCAUGUCUCAGCAAGGUCCACCUCGGUGGAUUGAACCCAAGAGUCAUGUUCAAAGUGAAGGGUACGAGUGUGGAUACUAUGUGAUGCAUUGGAUGUGGUGCAUCGUUAGUGGUCGUUUGA